AACGAACGCUGGCGGCAUGCCUAACACAUGCAAGUCGAACGAGACCUUCGGGUCUAGUGGCGCACGGGUGCGUAACGCGGGGGAACCUGCCCUUAGGUUCGGAAUAACUCCCCGAAAGGGGUGCUAAUACCGGAGAAUGUCUUCGGACCAAAGAUUUAUCGCCUUUGGAUGGGCCCGCGUUGGAUUAGCUAGUUGGUAGGGUAAAAGCCUACCAAGGCGACGAUCCAUAGCUGGUCUGAGAGGAUGAUCAGCCACACUGGGACUGAGACACGGCCCAGACUCCUACGGGAAGCAGCAGUGGGGAAUAUUGGACAAUGGGCGAAAGCCUGAUCCAGCAAUGCCGCGUGAGUGAUGAAGGCCUUAGGGUUGUAAAGCUCUUUUACCCGGGAUGAUAAUGACAGUACCGGGAGAAUAAGCUCCGGCUAACUCCGUG
rnacentral:rRNA from 1 species